AAGUGUCAACACGGAUCUCUUGCUNUCGCAUCGAUGAAGACCAGCGAAAUGCGAUAAGUAAUGUGAAUUGCAGAAUUCAGUGAAUCAUCGAAUCUUUGAACGCACCUUGCGCUCCUUGGUAUUCCUUGGAGCAUUCCUGUUUGAGUAUCA
rnacentral:rRNA from 1 species